CACACGGAGAGAAGCUCCAUCCAAGGAUUUAUUUUUCAGCUCUUACCUAUAGGGACAGAGGAGAUCUGGGAAUAAAGAUCCAACAUCCGGUUGCCGUCCACAUCCACCAGAUUGAAAAAUAAAUCUGAAGAAAAUUCUGGAAAGUUAAGAUGUAUAUGGCCUGUGGGAUCUCAGCUCGCUGACCAAGGAUCAAACCUGCACCCCUGUCACUGGAAGUUGAUGUCUUAACCGCUGGAACGCCAGGGAAGCCCCUCACUUAUUGUUUUAAUUAAUCUACAACCUUCUUCUGAGAAGAUACUGUCCCCAUUUCACAGGUGAGGAUCAGAGAGGUUAAGCAAGUUUCCUGAGGUCACAUAGCUAGUGAGUUUGCAAGGCCUGAAUUUGAGUCCAGAAAAUUUGUGCUUUUCUUACUAUAUCUCAAUUUUGACUUUUUGUAGAGAAAAAUGACCAAGUGCCAAUACAACACUUAAUGAUGACAUGUAAUGCCAUAAACCACAGGAAAAAAGAAUAGGAUUUGAAUGAUCAAGAAAGCCUUUUCCAGGGUUCCUUCUAUCAAGCUGUGUGAGCAGAUGUCCA